rnacentral:lncRNA from 1 species
CCACCUCGAUAGGACAAGCCUGUAGAUUAAAAGAUGCACAAAUUCUCUUGCCCUGUAAAGCCAAUGCUAAAGCCUUCUAUCAAGUGGACCUACAAGAUAAUCUAAUCUUAAUAGGCCUUAAAAUAUCGCAUGAACUAACGAUUCUACAAAGCUGCUAAAUCUUAAUAUUCUGCGCCCGAAUUUUUCAAAAACUCAAUUUGAAAAUUUUUAAAAAUCGAAAUUAUCAAAAUAUUUUUAUUGCAUUAUUCACUAUGCAAAUUCAUAUCAUAUCUCAAAAUCACCUAAGGUAAAUAAUUACACUUAAUAAAAUAAAUAGUCAUAUUAAUAUAUCAAUUGAUUAAGAUCUUAACUAAAUAAUUUUAAGUAAAGCAUGAUUUAACAAAAAUUAAAUCAGCCCAACAUAUAAAAAUAAAUAAAAGCAGCCCAAUUCUUUUAUUAAAUCAGUCCAUGUUAAAUCAUAAUAUAGGCCCAAAAUUAAUAGCCCAAUACUAAAAACUCUAGCCCACAACCCAUCUUCUUUAUUAAAAGAAACAUCACACACACACACAACCCACACACGCACACACACAGCACAGACGCACGCACACACACACACACCCAGACGCACCCCCCCUCUCUCUCCCUUUCAUGCUGCCGCCGCCGCCGCCUGACGGCGGCGCCGCCCGACGGAGGCCGGCAGCCGCCCCCUCCCCCUCUCUCUUCUCCGACUUCUCUCUUUUCUCCUCUCUCUCCCUUUUCUCCCAGCCCUCUCUCUUCUCCUCCAUCUCUCCCUCUUCUCCGUCGACGGCAGCGGAAGCCACCGCCGGCGCCGCAUCGACCGCAGCACAGCAGCAGCCGCCGCCUCCCCUUCACUCGUCUCCCUCUUGACCGGCAGCAGUAGCUGCCUCCGCCGUCCCUGCACGGAGCAGCGCCGCUUCCUCUCCUUUCUUCCAGAUCUGGCACCGCCGGCGUCGUGUCGACAGCAGCACGGCAGCAGCUGCCGCCUCCUCUUCUUUCUUCCUCUCGGCCGGGCGAGCAGCAGCACCCCGAAGGACCGCCGCGCCGCCGUCCUCGCCACCACCACCUCCGAUUCUCCCUCUCAAUCUGCCGCUGCUCCUCUCCUUUCCUCCAGAUCCGGCGACGCCGUCGCCCUCGCUUCGUCCGACAACAGCACAGCAGCGCCGCCGCCGUGGCAGACGGCCUCCUCCCUCUUGCCACGCCGAGCAGCCGCUCGCCUUCUCCGGCUACCAAUCGACGCCCAACACCCCUCCCCAAAUCAUCUCAAAACCCUCUAUCACAUUCUAGUCUUCUAUUUCAUUUGAAAUGGUGUUGAGAAAUUUUUAAUCUUUUCUUAAAAAAAUUCAAUCUUUCUUAUGCAAAAAUUCAGUCUUUUCCUUAUGCAUUGGAAAAAAAGCACUUGAGAAAUAUACUUACAGACUGUGUACUUUCUUGAAGGGAUGCUUGUGAUUUGAAUGAAUUUUUUUGGAGAGGAAAGAAAGCUGAUGAUAAUUGGAUUUUCUGUGAAUGAUCUGAUCUUGAGUUUUGGCAAAUUUAUUUCAUGAGAGAAAAAUGCAUGUAAAGUGAUUGGUUCAAAAUGUGGUGAGUUGCAGAUGCAUGUAAAGUGAUUGGUUCACAAUGUGGUGAAAAUGUGGAGUGAUACGUGGAUGAAUUUUUGAUGAAUGAGGAC